rnacentral:misc_RNA from 1 species
AAGCUUUGGACAGCCACCUCCACAAAACAGCCUUCUUCCUCAUCCUUUCUUCUUCAUUGCCGAAUUCUUUAUCUCAAGGUCCAUCCAUGGCCAUCCACCAUUAAGCUCAAAUCCACUUAUGUUCAAGCCAUGGUUUGCACAAGAGUUCUUCAUUAAAGUUAAAGUACACACCUUGGGCAGCAUACUAGGAGCAAUAAAGAUAAAUUUUGGUAGAGUUUUGAAGAAGUCCUAAAGAG